UACAGAGGGGGCAAGCGUUGUUCGGAAUUACUGGGCGUAAAGGGCGCGUAGGCGGCCUUCUAAGUCGAACGUGAAAUCCCCGGGCUCAACCCGGGAACUGCGUCCGAUACUGGAAGGCUUGAAUCCGGGAGAGGGAUGUGGAAUUCCAGGUGUAGCGGUGAAAUACGUAGAGAUUGGGAAGAACACCAGUGGCGAAGGCGGCUAUUUGGACGGUUUCUGACACUAAGACUCGAAAGCGUGGGGAGCAAACAGG
rnacentral:rRNA from 1 species